rnacentral:rRNA from 1 species
AGAACGAACGCUGGCGGCGUGCCUAACACAUGCAAGUCGAACGAGAAACCCUAGCUUCGGUUGGGGAAGUACAGUGGCGCACGGGUGAGUAACGCGUGAGUAACCUACCCUCGAGUUCAGGAUAACGUUGGGAAACUGGCGCUAAUACUGGAUGAAGUCUAUGGUCGCAAGGCAUAUAGACCAAAGGAGGCCUCUUCUUGAAAGCUUCCGCGAGAGGAUGGGCUCGCGUCCCAUUAGCUAGUUGGUAGGGUAAUGGCCUACCAAGGCGACGAUGGGUAGCCGGCCUGAGAGGGUGUCCGGCCACACUGGAACUGAAACACGGUCCAGACUCCUACGGGAGGCAGCAGUGAGGAAUUUUGCGCAAUGGGCGAAAGCCUGACGCAGCGACGCCGCGUGGGCGAUGAAGCUCUUUGGAGUGUAAAGCCCUGUCAGGUGGACGAAGUCCGGGAGAGUGAAUAUUCUUCGCUGACGUACCACUAGAGAACGCCCGGCUAACUCUGUGACCG